CUAGGACCUAGUGUUACUAAUCAGGAGGUACAGGGACUAGGAGCUAGUGUUACUAAUCAGGAGGUACAGGGGCUAGGAGCUAGUGUUACUAAUCAGGAGGUACAGGGGCUAGGAGCUAGUGUUACUAAUCAGGAGGUACAGGGGCUAGGAGCUAGUGUUACUAAUCAGGAGGUACAGGGACUAGGAGCUAGUGUUACUAAUCAGGAGGUACAGGGGCUAGGAGCUAGUGUUACUAAUCAGGAGGUACAGGGGCUAGGAACUAGUGUUACUAAUCAGGAGGUACAGGGACUAGGAACUAGUGUUACUAAUCAGGAGGUACAGGGGCUAGGAGCUAGUGUUACUAAUCAGGAGGUACAGGGGCUAGGAGCUAGUGUUACUAAUCAGGAGGUACAGGGGCUAGGAGCUAGUGUUACUAAUCAGGAGGUACAGGGGCUAGGAACUAGUGUUACUAAUCAGGAGGUACAGGGACUAGGAACUAGUGUUACUAAUCAGGAGGUACAGGGGCUAGGAGCUAGUGUUACUAAUCAGGAGGUACAGGGGCUAGGAGCUAGUGUUACUAAUCAGGAGGUACAGGGGCUAGGAGCUAGUGUUACUAAUCAGGAGGUACAGGGGCUAGGAACUAGUGUUACUAAUCAGGAGGUACAGGGGCUAGGAACUAGUGUUACUAAUCAGGAGGUACAGGGGCUAGGAACUAGUGUUACUAAUCAGGAGGUACAGGGGCUAGGAACUAGUGUUACUAAUCAGGAGGUACAGAGGCUAGGAACUAGUGUUACUAAUCAGGAGGUACAGGGGCUAGGAGCUAGUGUUACUAAUCAGGAGGUACAGGGGCUAGGAGCUAGUGUUACUAAGUGCACAAUGUCUGCUAAUGCCUUUUGGACUGUGUAUAGUGUGUGUGUGUUGGGGGGCUUUGUUGGAGUGAGAACAUACAGAACAACUGACACACACUCACACACCCCGUAUGAGAUGCAUGUUACACACACUUCAACACAAACACAUAUUCACAAACUACAACUGUCACUUAGAGAGUCCGGGUAAUGAUAAAUGAAACGGAUAGUCCCACUCCGGGGGGCAGUAGAUAGAGGGGGAAGGAGAGUAUAGAUAUACAGCAGUUAUACUAGAGAUCUCUGCUCCUUGUCUCUAGUACAGGUUAGUCUGUAUAGAUAUACAGUAAUUAUACUAGAGAUCUCUGCUCCUUGUCUCUAGUACAGGUUAGUCUGUAUAGAUAUACAGCAGUUAUACUAGAGAUCUGUGCUCCUUGUCUCUAGUACAGGUUAGUCUGUAUAGAUAUACAGUAAUUAUACUAGAGAUCUCUGCUCCUUGUCUCUAGUACAGGUUAGUCUGUAUAGAUAUACAGCAGUUAUACUAGAGAUCUCUGCUCCUUGUCUCUAGUACAGGUUAGUCUGUAUAGAUAUACAGCAGUUAUACUAGAGAUCUCUGCUCCUUGUCUCUAGUACAGGUUAGUCUGUAUAGAUAUACAGCAGUUAUACUAGAGAUCUCUGCUCCUUGUCUCUAGUACAGGUUAGUCUGUAUAGAUAUACAGCAGUUAUACUAGAGAUCUCUGCUCCUUGUCUCUAGUACAGGUUAGUCUGUAUAGAUAUACAGCAGUUAUACUAGAGAUCUCUGCUCCUUGUCUCUAGUACAGGUUAGUCUGUAUAGAUAUACAGCAGUUAUACUAGAGAUCUGUGCUCCUUGUCUCUAGUACAGGUUAGUCUGUAUAGAUAUACAGUAAUUAUACUAGAGAUCUCUGCUCCUUGUCUCUAGUACAGGUUAGUCUGUAUAGAUAUACAGCAGUUAUACUAGAGAUCUGUGCUCCUUGUCUCUAGUACAGGUUAGUCUGUAUAGAUAUACAGUAAUUAUACUAGAGAUCUCUGCUCCUUGUCUCUAGUACAGGUUAGUCUGUAUAGAUAUACAGCAGUUAUACUAGAGAUCUCUGCUCCUUGUCUCUAGUACAGGUUAGUCUGUAUAGAUAUACAGCAGUUAUACUAGAGAUCUGUGCUCCUUGUCUCUAGUACAGGUUAGUCUGUAUAGAUAUACAGCAGUUAUACUAGAGAUCUGUGCUCCUUGUCUCUAGUACAGGUUAGUCUGUAUAGAUAUACAGCAGUUAUACUAGAGAUCUGUGCUCCUUGUCUCUAGUACAGGUUAGUCUGUAUAGAUAUACAGCAGUUAUACUAGAGAUCUCUGCUCCUUGUCUCUAGUACAGGUUAGUC